GGGUUUUAGAUUAUAAGGUUGGGAAUGAAGGUGCUUUUGCGCCGCGAGAAGAAACGAAGUUUCACUUUUUGCGUUUUUACAGGUUUCACGUGAACCUCUUGUGAUUUUCAGCACGGUGGUGUGAAGAAGAUGACCUGAUGGGCGAUGAUAGAGGCACAAUUUCUAUUUUUGGGUUUUUUGGAUUUUGUAGGUUCUGGUUUAACGAAGGAGCACAGAGAUGAUUGGUUCUACGAUUGGGGUUUUUGAAAUUAGCGUUGGAUGCUGUUCAAAGGUUGGGUCACGAAGUUUGAUCUUGAAGAUGAUGGAGAUGAACUACUAUUGUCACGAUUCUAGGGUUUCACCGGUUGUUUUCUAGGUGUUGAAUCUGGUUUCAGCAGGUUCCAUUUAACAAGUGAUUUUAGUAAUUAUUCUUGG
rnacentral:sRNA from 1 species